UUCUGGAGAACCAAAAUGGUAAAGGACAUUAGGUAUUAGACUGGAAAACAAAGACUGAAUUUUAAUCCUCCUGUAGUUAUGAAAGCCCGAUGGAAGAUUUUGGCGUAGUUAUUUUCUUUCAGAUCAACUCAGCUUACAAUGUUAU